rnacentral:rRNA from 1 species
ACGCUGUUCUUAAAGAUUUAGCCAUGCAAGUGAAAGUUCAAACAUUUAAAAUGUGAGACUGUGGACGNCUCAGUAAAUCAGUUAUAAUCUGCUCGAUUGUCAAGGUUAUUGGAUAACCGUGGGAAAUCUAGAGCUAAUACAUGCAGUUUGUGAGGGCAACCUCAUGGCAUUUAUUAGAUAAUUACCAAUUGAAUGAGAGUAAAAUCUCAUUCAGGUUGAAUCUAGAUAACUAUGCAGAUCGUACGGCCUCGUGCUGACGACGAUUCGAUUGAGUUUCUGCCUUAUCAGCUUUGUCGUGGCGGUGAGGGCCCCACGUGGCAGUGACGAGUACGGGUGAAUAAGGGUUUGAUUCCGGAGAGGGAGCCUGAGAAACGGCUACCACAUNCAAGGAAGGCAGCAGGCGCGAAAAUUACCCAAUCCAGACAAUGGGAGGUGGUGACGAAAAGUACCGAAUCUGGCCCUAGUGGUUAGAGUUUGGAAUGGACGAUANAUAAACAUGAUCGAGAAUUCAACUGGAGGGCAAGUCUGGUGCCAGCAGCCGCGGUAAUUCCAGCUCCAGUAGCGUAUCGCAAAGNUGCUGCGCUUAAAACGNUCGUAAGUUGGGAUCACAGUCUGUGUGUGUGUGAAUCGGAAUGGCGUGCGUUCAACUUUUAUAAUUUACAUGCUAUGUAAAAUGUGAAAGAGUGCGUCUAUUAUUCUGAUUGGAAGCGCGCGCACAGUAAUUGCACGCGAGGAUGACCAUUGACCUUUGGUGUGUUGGUGGUGGUGUCUCGCGGGGUGUGCCUUGAGUAAAUCAGAGUGCUUAAUGCAAGCGUGUGCUUGAAUGUUGAUAGCAUGGAACGAACAAUAGUGUAUGGUGUGUGUUGGCCAAGAUGUGAUGCAAAUUGCGUCUCAACACAUGACACCGACCACCAAUUACGGAUGUUGGUUCCGUAUUGGGGUACUGAUUAAGAGGAGCGGUUGGGGGCAUUGGUAUUUGGCAGCGAGAGGUGAAAUUCUUAGACCUGCCAAGGACUAACAAAUGCGAAGGCAUCUGUCCAGACCGUAUCCAUUGAUCAAGAGCGAAAGUGCGGGGAUCGAAGAUGAUCAGAUACCAUCCUAGUCCGCACCCUAAACUAUGCCAACUCGGGAUCAGUUUGGAGCACAGUAUCCAGGCUCGAGAUUGGUCCCCCUGGGAAACCUGAAGUUUUUCGGUUGCGGGGGGAGUAUGGUCGCAAGGCUGAAACUUAAAGGAAUUGACGGAAGGGCACCACCAGGGGUGGAGCCUGCGGCUUAAUUUGACUCAACACGGGAAAACUUACCUGGUCCGGACAUAAAAAGGAGUUACCGAGUGCCGCUCGAAUUUAACGAUAUUAUGAGUAGUGGUGCAUGGCCGUUCUUAGUGCGUGGAGUGAUCUGUUUCCCUUAUCGGUUAAACGCGCGAGAUGCCGGUCUUCAUUUGAUGAGUCAGAGAGGGCGUGGAUCAGUUCAAUUUUUGGCAACAAGAGUUGUUCUUUUCUGCGUCGUAGGCAAUGUCCGUUUGGUGAGUUUAAGAGUGUAUCUCUGUUUCGGCAGAGUGUAUAUUUGAGAGCGCAUCAAGAUUGGCAUUCCCUUUGACGUUACAGAGUAUUGUUCGCAAGAGCGAUGCUUUGUUUCAUGGAGAGACGUCGGAAUAUAUNCAAAAUCCGAGAAAGUGGCGCCAUAACAGGUCUGUGAUGCCCUUAGAUGUUCAGGGCUGCACGCGCGCUACAAUGGCAACGACAGCGAGUAUCUGCAUCGAAAGAUGUGGGUAAUCUUGUAAUCGUUGCCGUGAAGGGGAUUGAUGUUUGUAAAUACGUCAUGAAAGAGGAAUCCCUAGUAGAUGCGAUUCAUGAGAUUGCAUCGAUUAAGUCCCUGCCCUUUGUACACACCGCCCGUCGCUACUACCGAGUGAAUAGUGUCAUAAUGCCUUGAGAGUGGACGUUUUUCCAGCGUUCUGUUGGGAAAACGCUACAACCAGCGUAGAAUGGCGCAAUUUCGAGGAAGUAAAAGUCGUAACAAGGUUUCCGU